GAUGAACGCUAGCGACAGGCUUAACACAUGCAAGUCGAGGAGUAACAGGGUAGCAAUACCGCUGACGACCGGCGCACGGGUGAGUAACGCGUAUGCAACCUGCCUAUAACUGGGGAAUAGCUCCCUGAAAGGGGAAUUAACACCGCAUAACACUAUUGAUUCGCAUGGAUUGGUAGUUAAAUGUAGCGAUACAGGUUAUAGAUGGGCAUGCGUGACAUUAGCUAGUUGGUGAGGUAACGGCUCACCAAGGCUACGAUGUCUAGGGGUUCUGAGAGGAAGGUCCCCCAACUGGUACUGAGACACGGACCAGACUCCUACGGGAGCAGCAGUGAGGAAUAUUGGUCAAUGGGCGCAAGCCUGAACCAGCCAUGUCGCGUGCAGGAAGACCGCCUAUGGGUUGUAAACUGCUUUUAAGUAGAAGAAACACAUCUACGCGUAGAUGUCUGCCAGUAUACUAUGAAUAGCAUCGGA
rnacentral:rRNA from 1 species